rnacentral:rRNA from 1 species
ACUUGCGGAAGGAUCAUUACCGAGUGCGGGUCCUAUGGGUCCAACCUCCCAUCCGUGUCUAUUGUGCCCUGUUGCUUCGGCGGGCCCGCCGCUAGUCGGCCGCCGGGGGGGCCCCUCUGCCCCCGGGGCCCGUUCGCGCCGGAGACCUUAACACGAACACUGUCUGAAAGCGUGCAGUCUGAGUUGAUUGAAUGCAAUCAGUUAAAACUUUCAACAAUGGAUCUCUUGGUUCCGGCAUCGAUGAAGAACGCAGCGAAAUGCGAUAACUAAUGUGAAUUGCAGAAUUCAGUGAAUCAUCGAGUCUUUGAACGCACAUUGCGCCCCCUGGUAUUCCGGGGGGCAUGCCUGUCCGAGCGUCAUUGCUGCCCUCAAGCCCGGCUUGUGUGUUGGGUCGCCGUCCCCCUCUCCGGCCGGACGGGCUUGAAAGGCAGCGGCGGCACCGCGUCCGAUCCUCGAGCGUAUGCGGCUUAGUCACAUGCUCUGUAGGAUUGGCCGGCGCCUGCCGACGUUUUCCAACCAUUCUUUCCAGGUUGACCUCGGAUCAGGUACCGAUACGCGCUGAACUUAAGUAUAUCC